GACGAACGCUGGCGGCGUGCUUAACACAUGCAAGUCGAACGGAAAGGCCCUGCUUUUGUGGGGUGCUCGAGUGGCGAACGGGUGAGUAACACGUGAGUAACCUGCCCUUGACUUUGGGAUAACUUCAGGAAACUGGGGCUAAUACCGGAUAGGAGCUCCUGCUGCAUGGUGGGGGUUGGAAAGUUUCGGCGGUUGGGGAUGGACUCGCGGCUUAUCAGCUUGUUGGUGGGGUAGUGGCUUACCAAGGCUUUGACGGGUAGCCGGCCUGAGAGGGUGACCGGCCACAUUGGGACUGAGAUACGGCCCAGACUCCUACGGGAGGCAGCAGUGGGGAAUAUUGCACAAUGGGCGGAAGCCUGAUGCAGCAACGCCGCGUGCGGGAUGACGGCCUUCGGGUUGUAAACCGCUUUCGCCUGUGACGAAGCGUGAGUGACGGUAAUGGGGAAAGAAACACCGGCUAACUACGU
rnacentral:rRNA from 1 species